rnacentral:rRNA from 1 species
GACAGAGGGUGCAAACGUUGCUCGGAAUUACUGGGCGUAAAGCGCGUGUAGGCUGACCGGAAAGUCGGGCGUGAAAUCCCUGAGCUCAACUCAGGAACUGCACUCGAAACUCCCGGUCUAGAGUGGUGGAGAGGGAAGUGGAAUUCCUGGUGUAAAGGUGAAAUUCGUAGAUAUCAGGAGGAACACCAGUGGCGAAGGCGGCUUCCUGGACACCAACUGACGCUGAGACGCGAAAGCGUGGGGAGCAAACAGG